rnacentral:rRNA from 1 species
AUGAACGCUGGCGGCGUGYUUAACACAUGCAAGUCGAACGGGGAACAAAUUAUUGAAGCUUCGGCAGAUCUAGCUUGUUCCUAGUGGCGGACGGGUGAGUAAYGCGUGGGUAACCUGCCUCGCACUGGGGGAUAACAGUCAGAAAUGGCUGCUAAUACCGCAUAAGCGCACAGUACCGCAUGGUACAGUGUGAAAAACUCCGGUGGUGUGAGAUGGACCCGCGUUGGAUUAGCUAGUUGGCAGGGCAGCGGCCUACCAAGGCGACGAUCCAUAGCCGGCCUGAGAGGGUGAACGGCCACAUUGGGACUGAGACACGGCCCAGACUCCUACGGGAGGCAGCAGUGGGGAAUAUUGCACAAUGGGGGAAACCCUGAUGCAGCGACGCCGCGUGAAGGAAGAAGUAUCUCGGUAUGUAAAC